rnacentral:rRNA from 1 species
UCUCCUACGGGACGCAGCAGUAGGGAAUAUUGCUCAAUGGGGGAAACCCUGAAGCAGCAACGCCGCGUGGAGGAUGAAGGUUUUAGGAUUGUAAACUCCUUUUGUGAGAGAAGAUUAUGACGGUAUCUCACGAAUAAGCACCGGCUAACUCCGUGCCAGCAGCCGCGGUAAUACGGAGGGUGCAAGCGUUACUCGGAAUCACUGGGCGUAAAGAGUGCGCAGGCGGGUAGUCAAGUCAGAUGUGAAAUCCUAUAGCUUAACUAUAGAACUGCAUUUGAAACUGAUUAUCUAGAGUGUGGGGGAGG